ACUGCCUGACCCAACCAUAUACUACCAACCACUCACACGCGAACAAUUUAUUCCACUAAUAAAGAAAGAAAUAUCCAAACGCACGCACUGCAGGCCACCCAAAUCGCUCCAUAAUUUUUAUCUGUAGCUUCCUUCCGGCAGGCCGGCCGGCCGGCCGGCUUGCGCGUGCAUGGCGGUCCGCCGGCGCGCCUACUCGAUGCCGUACCUCUUCUUAAGCAGGCCGAUGAAGUCGUAGACCUUCUCGGGCGAGUAGAGGCUCUUGGCGACGCUCUCCCGCUCGCCGCACCGCUUGGCCCACGCCGCGAUCUUGGGCGCCACCUCCGCCAGGCUGAACUCGCCGUACCUCUCGUAGCUGUGGAACCAUGCG
rnacentral:lncRNA from 1 species